rnacentral:lncRNA from 1 species
CUGUAGAAUCUGCUAACCAAACUCUGGAGGAGGCACAUUUGCCAUGCUGUAAGCAGCGUGAUGGAUCUCUGGAUUGCCUAUGAAUAGUAACUAAUCACAAAACAGAAAAUUAUUGCAUACUGCAGAAGUAUCUUUAAGCAAGCACGGAUGUAAAGAGUCCAGAAGAUCCCUAUCAGCAUUUCACAAAGAGUGGUCUGUGGACUGGGUGGAAGAGAAUAACAUGAGUCACUGGAUUUAAGUCAGAUUCUGGGUCUGCUUCUCAGACCUGCUGCACUGCAAUCACUGAGUGGGAG